GACGAACGCUGGCGGCGUGCCUAAUACAUGCAAGUCGAACGCAGUUGCGAACGGGUGAGUAAGGCGUAGGUAACUUCCUUAUAGCGGGGGAUAAAUAUUGGAAACGAUAGCUAAUACCGCAUACUGUGAGAUGGACUGGCGUUGUAUUAGCUAGUUGGUGAGGUAAAGGCUCACCAAGGCGACGAUACAUAGCCGACCUGAGAGGGUGAUCUGCGCCACUGGGACUGGGACACGGCCCAGAGCCCUACGGGGGGCGGCAGUAGGGGAUCUUCUGCAAUGGACGGAAGACUGACCGAGCGACGCCGCGUGUGUGUAGAAGGUUUUCGGAUCGUAUAGCUCUGUUGUUAGAGAAGCGGUAACUUACCAGAAAGGGACGGCUAACUACGUGCCCGGCGCCGCGGUUAAUUC
rnacentral:rRNA from 1 species